rnacentral:miRNA from 1 species
CUGAACUCACUAUGUAGCCCAGGCUGGCCUCAAAUUCACAGUGAUCAUCCUGCCUCAGCCUCCUGAGUGCUAGGAU